rnacentral:lncRNA from 1 species
UUUGAAGAGUUCCAAAAUAUUAAUUAAUUAUUAACUUUAUGGAUCGGUGAUUGUAUUUCAAAAUCGAAAUCAUUUUUAAUAUUUCACCUUUGGGUCUUAGCAAACUCAAGUCACAAAUUCAUUUUACCUGACUUAGAGGAGAGCAACCCAACGUUCUUCAUAUUUCAUUACACUGCUAUUUUCGGGAAAUCACAUGGUCUUAUUCUCAAACUUAUGCCUCGAUAUCCUUGGAUAGGCUACGUUGGACCAGUAUUAUAUUCAUACGUAGAUUUUUAAAUGGUGUCAUGUUGGCUAUGCGACGCACGGAUGCGGAUACUUUUCAACUCGCUCCCUACGCAGCCACGUUCUCGUCAUUCGCCGCGUUUCUUUUGCGCCUUUAACUCUCUCAAAACGUUUUAAUUCUUUUAUUUUUUAUUUUUUUGAAACACAACUCUUUUUUUGCGCCUUUAACUCUCUCAAAACGUUUUCAUUCUUUAAUUUCUUUAAUUUCUUUGAUUAUGACAACAGCUAAGACAACUCUUUUUUUUUUGGACAAGACAUGUCUAUCGGGGAGCUGUUAGAACAUUUCCGAGGGUUCUAUCCAUUAGAAUUCUUAAAAUGCAUAUGUGUAUAUGUAUAUGUUAUAUAUGUGUAUUUAUGGGGUUCAGUGCUUUUGUGAAGAACCUUAUCCAAAAGUUUUUAAAACAAUAAAUGGGUAGAAUCCUCUAUUGGAGAUGCUGGUUUUUAGCGUAA